ACUAUAACGGUCCUAAGGUAGCGAAAUUCCUUGUCGGCUAAAUACUGACCUGCACGAAAGGCGCAAUGAUCUCUCAACUGUCUCAACACUAGACUCGGUGAAAUUAUGGUCCCAGUGAAAACGCUGGGUACCCGCAUCAAGACGAAAAGACCCCAUGGAGCUUUACUAUAACUUCGUAUUGAAAUUUGGUCUAACAUGUGUAGGAUAGGUGGGAGACGAUGAUAGCAGGACGCCAGUUCUGAAGGAGUCAACCUUGAAAUACCACCCUUGUUAUAUUGAGUUUCUAACUUGCCAUCAUAAUCAGGUGGGAGGACAGUGCGUGGUGGGUAGUUUGACUGGGGCGGUCGCCUCCUAAAGAGUAACGGAGGCGUUCAAAGGUACACUCAAUACGGUCAGAAACCGUAUGUAGAGCGCAAAGGUAGAAGUGUGCUUGACUGUGAGACUUACAAGUCGAGCAGGUGCGAAAGCAGGACUUAGUGAUCCGGCUGUACAUUGUGGAAUGGCAGUCGCUCAACGGAUAAAAGUUACCCUGGGGAUAACAGGCUUAUCUUGCCCAAGAGAUCACAUCGACGGCAAGGUUUGGCACCUCGAUGUCGGCUCAUCGCAUCCUGGAGCUGGAGUCGGUUCCAAGGGUUGGGCUGUUCGCCCAUUAAAGCGGUACGCGAGCUGGGUUCAAAACGUCGUGAGACAGUUUGGUCCCUAUCUGAUGUGGGCGUUGGAAUAUUGAUGAGAGCCGCUCUUAGUACGAGAGGACCGGAGUGGACGUACCACUGGUGUUCCUGUUGUUGCGCCAGCAGCAUAGCAGGGUAGCUAAGUACGGAAAGGAUAACCGCUGAAAGCAUCUAAGUGGGAAGCCUCCUCAAAGAUAAGUAUUCCCUUGAGAUUCCUUAUAGACUAUGAGGUUGAUAGGAUGGGGGUGUAAGCGUAGUAAUACGUUGAGCUGACCAUUACUAAUAAAUCGAUCGGUUUAAAAGU
rnacentral:rRNA from 1 species